UCGUACGGUGAACACGGAGCUUGCUCUGUGGGAUCAGUGGCGAACGGGUGAGUAACACGUGAGCAACCUGCCCCUGACUCUGGGAUAAGCGCUGGAAACGGCGUCUAAUACUGGAUAUGUGACGUGACCGCAUGGUCUGCGUUUGGAAAGAUUUUUCGGUUGGGGAUGGGCUCGCGGCCUAUCAGCUUGUUGGUGAGGUAAUGGCUCACCAAGGCGUCGACGGGUAGCCGGCCUGAGAGGGUGACCGGCCACACUGGGACUGAGACACGGCCCAGACUCCUACGGGAGGCAGCAGUGGGGAAUAUUGCACAAUGGGCGGAAGCCUGAUGCAGCAACGCCGCGUGAGGGAUGACGGCCUUCGGGUUGUAAACCUCUUUUAGCAGGGAAGAAGCGAAAGUGACGGUACCUGCAGAAAAAGCGCCGGCUAACUACGUGCCAGCAGCCGCGGUAAUACGUAGGGCGCAAGCGUUAUCCGGAAUUAUUGGGCGUAAAUGAGCUCGUAGGCGGUUUGUCGCGUCUAGCUGUGAAAUCCCGAGGCUCAACCUCGGGCCUGCAGUGGGUACGGGCAGACUAGAGUGCGGUAGGGGAGAUUGGAAUUCCUGGUGUAGCGGUGGAAUGCGCAGAUAUCAGGAGGAACACCGAUGGCGAAGGCAGAUCUCUGGGCCGUAACUGACGCUGAGGAGCGAAAGGGUGGGGAGCAAACAGGCUUAGAUACCCUGGUAGUCCACCCCGUAAACGUUGGGAACUAGUUGUGGGGUCCAUUCCACGGAUUCCGUGACGCAGCUAACGCAUUAAGUUCCCCGCCUGGGGAGUACGGCCGCAAGGCUAAAACUCAAAGGAAUUGACGGGGACCCGCACAAGCGGCGGAGCAUGCGGAUUAAUUCGAUGCAACGCGAAGAACCUUACCAAGGCUUGACAUAUACGAGAACGGGCCAGAAAUGGUCAACUCUUUGGACACUCGUAAACAGGUGGUGCAUGGUUGUCGUCAGCUCGUGUCGUGAGAUGUUGGGUUAAGUCCCGCAACGAGCGCAACCCUCGUUCUAUGUUGCCAGCACGUAAUGGUGGGAACUCAUGGGAUACUGCCGCGGUCAACUCGGAGGAAGGUGGGGAUGACGUCAAAUCAUCAUGCCCCUUAUGUCUUGUGCUUCACGCAUGCUACAAUGGCCGGUACAAAGGGCUGCAAUACCGUGAGGUGGAGCGAAUCCCAAAAAGCCGGUCCCAAUUCGGAUUGAGGUCUGCAACUCGACCUCAUGAAGUCGGAGUCGCUAGUAAUCGCAGAUCAGCAACGCUGCAGUGAAUACGUUCCCGGGUCUUGUACACACCGCCCG
rnacentral:rRNA from 1 species